CAGCCGCCGCGGUGAAACCAGCACCUAAAGUGGUCAGGAUGAUUAUUGGGCCUAAAGCAUCCGUAGCCCGUUUUGUAAGUUUUCGGUUAAAUCCAUGCGCUUAACGUAUGGGCUGCCGGGAAUACUGCAUAACUAGGAAGUGGGAGAGGUAGACGGUACUCGGUAGGAAGGGGUAAAAUCCUUUGAUCUAUUGAUGACCACCUGUGGCGAAGGCGGUCUACCAGAACACGUUCGACGGUGAGGGAUGAAAGCUGGGGGAGCAAACCGGAUUAGAUACCCGGGUAGUCCCAGCUGUAAACUAUGCAAACUCAGUGAUGCAUUGGCUUAUGGCCAAUGCAGUGCUGCAGGGAAGCCGUUAAGUUUGCCGCCUGGGAAGUACGUACGCAAGUAUGAAACUUAAAGGAAUUGGCGGGGGGAGCA
rnacentral:rRNA from 1 species